rnacentral:rRNA from 1 species
UACGUAGGUGGCAAGCGUUGUCCGGAAUUAUUGGGCGUAAAGCGCGCGCAGGCGGUCCUUUAAGUCUGAUGUGAAAGCCCACGGCUCAACCGUGGAGGGUCAUUGGAAACUGGGGGACUUGAGUGCAGAAGAGGAAAGCGGAAUUCCACGUGUAGCGGUGAAAUGCGUAGAGAUGUGGAGGAACACCAGUGGCGAAGGCGGCUUUCUGGACGAUGACUGACGCUGAGACGCGAAAGCGUGGGGAGCAAACAGG